rnacentral:rRNA from 1 species
GACGAACCGUGCAAACGUUGUUCGGAAUCACUGGGCUUAAAGGGCGCGUAGGCGGGCGAUCAAGUCAGGGGUGAAAUCCUCCGGCUCAACCGGAGAACUGCCUUUGAUACUGGUCAUCUUGAGUGAGGUAGGGGCGUGCGGAACUGAUGGUGGAGCGGUGAAAUGUGUUGAUAUCAUCAGGAACUCCGGUGGCGAAAGCGGCGCGCUGGACCUUAACUGACGCUGAGGCGCGAAAGCUAGGGGAGCAAACGGG